rnacentral:rRNA from 1 species
GAUGAACGCUGGCGGCGUGCCUAAUACAUGCAAGUCGAGCGAACAGACGAGGCGCUUGCGCCGCUGACGUUAGCGGCGGACGGGUGUGUAACACGUGGAUAACCUACCUAUAAGACUGGGAUAACUUCGGGACACCGGCGCUAAUACCGGAUAAUAUAUUGCACCGCAUGGUUCAUUAGUGAAAGACGGUUUUUCUGUCACUUAUAGCGGGUUCCGGGCCGUAUUAGGUGGUUGGGAAGGUAAAGGCUUACCACGGCAAGGAUGCGUAGCCGACGGGAGAGGGGGGUAGGCCACCUGGGAAGUUGAACGCGGUCAAGAGGCCUAAGAGAGGGAGCAGAAGGGAAUCUGCCGCAAUGGGCGAAAGCCUGACGGAGCAACGCGGAGUGUGUGACGAAGGUCUUGGGAUCGUAAAGCUCUGUUAUUAGUGAUGAACAAAUGUGGAAGGAACUGUGCACGUAGUGACGGUACCGAAUCAGAAAGCCACGGCUAACUACGUG